rnacentral:rRNA from 1 species
UGGGAUGACAUCAAAUCAUCAUGCCCCUUAUGACCUGGGCUACACACGUGCUACAAUGGUUGGUACAACGAGUUGCGAGUCGGGUGACGGCGAGCUAAUCUACUUAAAGCCAAUCUCAGUUCGGAUUGUAGGCUGCAACUCGCCUAUAUGAAGUCGGAAUCGCUAGUAAUCGCGGAUCAGCACGCCGCGGUGAAUACGUUCCCGGGCCUU